rnacentral:rRNA from 1 species
GUUCUCCGUGUAAUCAGACACAUCGAUUACUGAGAGAUUCUCCCAGAUUUCUUUUGCUGUGUGUUCCUUGGUUGUCACUUCGAUUCGUCCCUUCUCUUUUUGAUGUCACAGAACUGAGCGACCCGGCACCAGUUACCGUCGCACCUCGUGUACGUCCGUUCGCCUUCCUGAAGUACGGACCCUUCAUUCUCCAUCUGAAACAGCUCGGCUUCCAUCAUGUCUUUGAAGGCAACGCCUUGCUUCUUGAGACGUGACCCGUCCUUCAUCAACGUGAACACCUUGACGAUGGGAUCCCUUGCCCACAUCUCCUCGUUAGUGCAUUCGGCAGGCUCCGGG